rnacentral:rRNA from 1 species
CAAUAGCGUAUAUUAAAGUUGUUGCAGUUAAAAAGCUCGUAGUUGGAUUUGUGGCGUACGGUGUGUUCCGGGCACUUGUUGUCUGAGUAACCUGCUGUUGCCAUCCUUGGGUGGAACCUGUGUGGCAUUAGGUUGUCGUGCAGGGGAUGCCCAUCCUUUACUGUGAAAAAAUUAGAGUGUUCAAAGCAGGCUUAUGCCGUUGAAUAUAUUAGCAUGGAAUAAUGAGAUAGGACUUUUUUGCUAUUUUGUUGGUUUGCGCAAAGAGGUAAUGAUUAAUAGGGACAGUUGGGGGUAUUCGUAUUCCAUUGUCAGAGGUGAAAUUCUUGGAUUUUUGGAAGACGAACUACUGCGAAAGCAUUUACCAAGGAUGUUUUCAUUAA